AGAGUUUGAUCCUGGCUCAGGACGAACGCUGGCGGCGCGCCUAACACAUGCAAGUCGAACGAGAGAGAGGGAGCUUGCUUCCUCGAUCGAGUGGCGAACGGGUGAGUAACGCGUGAGGAACCUGCCUCAAAGAGGGGGACAACAGUUGGAAACGACUGCUAAUACCGCAUAAGCCCACGGCUCGGCAUCGAGCAGAGGGAAAAGGAGCAAUCCGCUUUGAGAUGGCCUCGCGUCCGAUUAGCUAGUUGGUGAGGUAAUGGCCCACCAAGGCGACGAUCGGUAGCCGGACUGAGAGGUUGAACGGCCACAUUGGGACUGAGACACGGCCCAGACUCCUACGGGAGGCAGCAGUGGGGAAUAUUGCACAAUGGGGGAAACCCUGAUGCAGCGACGCCGCGUGGAGGAAGAAGGUCUUCGGAUUGUAAACUCCUGUUGUUGAGGAAGAUAAUGACGGUACUCAACAAGGAAGUGACGGCUAACUACGUGCCAGCAGCCGCGGUAAAACGUAGGUCACAAGCGUUGUCCGGAAUUACUGGGUGUAAAGGGAGCGCAGGCGGGCGAUCAAGUUGGAAGUGAAAUCCAUGGGCUCAACCCAUGAACUGCUUUCAAAACUGAUUGUCUUGAGUAGUGCAGAGGUAGGCGGAAUUCCCGGUGUAGCGGUGGAAUGCGUAGAUAUCGGGAGGAACACCAGUGGCGAAGGCGGCCUACUGGGCACCAACUGACGCUGAGGCUCGAAAGUGUGGGUAGCAAACAGGAUUAGAUACCCUGGUAGUCCACACCGUAAACGAUGAUUACUAGGUGUUGGAGGAUUGACCCUUUCAGUGCCGCAGUUAACACAAUAAGUAAUCCACCUGGGGAGUACGACCGCAAGGUUGAAACUCAAAGGAAUUGACGGGGGCCCGCACAAGCAGUGGAGUAUGUGGUUUAAUUCGACGCAACGCGAAGAACCUUACCAAGUCUUGACAUCCUGCGACGAUGCUAGAAAUAGUAUUUUCCUUCGGGACGCAGAGACAGGUGGUGCAUGGUUGUCGUCAGCUCGUGUCGUGAGAUGUUGGGUUAAGUCCCGCAACGAGCGCAACCCUUAUGGUCAGUUACUACGCAAGAGGACUCUGGCCAGACUGCCGUUGACAAAACGGAGGAAGGUGGGGAUGACGUCAAAUCAUCAUGCCCUUUAUGACUUGGGCUACACACGUACUACAAUGGCGUUAAACAAAGAGAAGCAAGACCGCGAGGU
rnacentral:rRNA from 1 species